rnacentral:lncRNA from 1 species
UUUUUUUUUUUUUUUGUCUUUUUAGGGCUGUACCUGUGGCACGUGGAAGUUCUCAGGCUAGGGGUUGAGUUGGAACUGUAGCUGCUGGCCUGAGCCACAGCCAGAGCAAUAUGAGAUCCGAGCCACGUCUGCCACCUAUACCACAGCUCACAGCAACACCGGAUCCUGACCCGCUCAGCAAGGCCAGGAAUCGAACCUGCAUCCUCAUGGAUGCUAGUCAGAAUCAUUUCUGCUGAACCAUGACGGGAAGUCCCAUCCUGUUGGUUUUAAGUUUGGCGAGUAGCAGCCUUCUCCCUCCCCGACCCCCGCCUUCAUCUCUCUGCACUGCAGACCCACCCUAACCCCUGCCACCUCACAGACACCACUCCUGUCCAGCACCGGGGCCCAUGGCCUUGAGCCAGAUGAUUCUCAGGUCCUUUCUUCUCUUUCUUUUUUAAAAAACUUUUUUUUUUUUUUUUUUUUUUUUUUGGCCACACCCACAACAUAUGAAAGUUCCUGGGCCAGGGAUUGAAUCCAACCCACACCGCAUCCAUGCUGGAUCAGGUGAGGGAUCAAACUCAUGCCUCCACAGCCACCUGAGCUGCUGCAUUCAGGUUCUCAAUGCCUUGUGCCUUAGCGGGACUCCAAGCCCUUUCCUUACUGCGAAAUUGCAUCUGGUCCCCUCCCAGUCCAUCCUGUAUUCUGUUCCUUAUUAACAAAGCACAGCUCUGUUCUCACUAAUACCUGAGGCCCCACGGUAGGGGAUGCUUGACUUAGCUAGGCCUAAAGUUCUUUUUUGACUUAACUAGCUUGAUGUGCUGCUCUCUAUCUCUGGUUUUAACUGUCUUUGCCCACGCCUCUCCGCUCUUCAGCUGCACCUCUCAGGCUAACCAGAUGACUCUUCCCUGUUUUUUUUCAUCUCUCUUAUGUUCCUUUCAUCUAGAAUUUCCUUCCCAGAAGCCCUGCCUGACAGUAUCCUACCCCAUAUGAAAUCUCCCUUGACCCUUCAAUCAGGGAGUGAUUUCUCUUUGCUGUAAUUUUUUUUGUCUUGUCUUUUCAGAGCCACACCCACUGCACAUGGAGCUUCCCAGGCUAGGGGUGGAAUCAGAGCUGUAGCUGCUGGCCACAGCCACAGCCACAGCAAUGUGGGAUCCAAGCCACGUCUGUGACCUACACCACAGCCCACGGCAAUGCUGGAUCCUCAACCCAUUGAGCGAGGCCAGGGAUCGAACCUGCCUCCUCAGGGUUACCAGUCAGGUUCAUUUCCACUGAGCCACGAUAGGAACUCCCCCUCUGCUGUAAAUUCACAGCAUUGACACCUCACUCGAGGCCCUUGGAACAUGCUUGUCCAUGUCCAUGAAGAAGAGUAUUGAACUUAGAAACCUGGGUUCAUCCUGGCACAGCCACUGGCUAUCUCUAUGACAUUGGGCACAUCCUCUAACUGCCUUGGGCUUCAGUGUCCUUACCUGGUAAGGACUCCUUACCAGGAGUCGUAAGGGUUACCGGACAGCGUACACAGAAAUCAACUUUGCCAAUGGAAAUGCAAUCACCAUUUCUCGCUUUCUGCUACCUUUCCUACUUGUCUCAGAGCUCUUGGAGGGAAGGACCGUGUCCUCAUCAUUUUUUUAUGCUACAAUUACUACUAUUGCAUUACCAUUCGCUCGUCAUCAUUAACAUAUUGCCAAUAAUAGUUAAUGUGUGUGGAGCAUGUAGAAUCGUGUCAGGCACCUUUCUAAGUACUCGAUAUGGAUUAAUUAAUUCUUCCAAUAACCCUAAGAGGUCCUGUAACCCUAAGAGGUCCUGUUAUUAGCCUACUUUAUGGAGAAAACUAUGUAUUUCUCAGAGCCUCCAAAGAAUGAGCCAAUGAAUGAAGGACUGAAUGAGACAGAAACUGCUAGCGACACCUACCAGGUGAUUAUUUUUCUCUCUUGCUUCUCUGCCCAAACUUGUCUUUCUUUUGAUCCCCUGAGGCAAAUGCAAAAUUAGGAAAAAGUCUUGCGUCAACUGAGACUGUGAAUGAUGAGUGGUCUCCUUGGGUCUUCAUUUAGGUCGGCUUCUCAUGAGGUGAGUGCCAGGAGGACACAGACUGUGCCUGUCUUGUUCUCUGCUGUUGCCACAGGGCCUGGAACAAUGUCUCGUGAUCAGUCCAUGUUCAUUGAAUAGGCAGUACUACGAGAUGCUCUACAACACGGCCGAUGAGCUCCUGAACCUGGUGGUGGACCAGGGCGUGAAGUACACGGAGCUGGAGUACAUCCACGCCCUGACCUUGCUGCACCGCAGCCAGACGGGGGUGGGAGACCAGACCACCCAGAACAUGCGGCUUCAGCGGCUCAAGGAGAUCAUCUGCGAGCAGGCGGCCAUCAAGCAAGCCACCAAGGAUAAGAAGAUAACUACAGUGUAACCGCCGCCCCGUGGAAGGGGGACAGGGGGACGGCUUGUUUUUGUCUCCUUAGUCAUACUCCUUUCUGGCUGUGUUAUUGGGUGUAGUCUGAGCUGACUUAGUUUUCUCGACACGGAUGCUCAAGUGGAGAGAAGGUAGAAGGAUUUUUUUUUUUUUUUUCCGCUUUGGUUUUGGCUUUUCAUAUAAACUCUCAAGGGAAUUUGCAGUACAGAAUGUUGGGAUCGACCGUUUAUUGGAAUGCCGUCCAUUGCAAAGGGUCCGGGGGUGGGAUGGGAAGGAAGGUUGUAUGACAUUGGACUCAGAACAAGAUGCAUGCACGAUUACUAAUGCCCAGCCGUUUCGGAUAAGUAUAGAUUGUUGCCUAUGUAAACCUCUCAAUAGGGUUCUAUUACAUAAACAGUAGGGUUUUUAUGCUCUUGACCUUGUCCAUUGACAGUUCAGUGAAGCAAGUGCAUGUGCAUUGCUUUCUGUCACCAGGGCCCAUGGCUUCUCAGCUGGCGGUAGUUUUCAGCAAAUUUCCCCUUUGGGGCUGGGGGGAGGAAGUCCUCUUAUGUCAGACCUUGGGAGAGUCUUGUAUGCAGUAGCCUGGACACAGCUUAUGGAUUGGUUUGAUGCCUUUUUGUUUUUAUUUCUACUGUCUCAAAACUGAGAACCAGGAAAUGAAUGAUGAAAAUGCAAGAACAAAAGGUAAUUCAACCCUCUUCCUGAUUUUUUCCUCUACUCUCCAAGAGAAAAUGAUUGUUAGAGAAUUUUUAAUCUCACUGGAAAGAUUGUCUGGGUGUGACUGGUUCUUAAAUGCUCACCCUCCUUAUAAGCCCCAGGGUCUUUUUUUCUUUUUUUUUCUUUUUGUCUGUUUCUUUCUUGCAUGUGUGUGUGUACUUUUUUUUUUUUAACAUAUUUGUUGAAUUAACAUAUAGUUGAUUUACAGUGUUGUACCAAUUUCACCCAAGGUCUUUCUCACCUUAGAAGGUACCCAAACUGGGUGCAGGGAAGGUAAAACCACCACGAUAUCCUUCCUCUGUGCAGCCACCAGCUGAGGAUGUUUCUGAGGUAUACUGGGCUGGCGUGGGAGCACGCUGCUCCUGGCACAUUUGCCUUCCCCACUGACCCCACAUCUCCAAGCCUUCUUGCUGCCUCUGGCUGUCAUAUCACAGAAGAAAGCAAUGCACUGACUGGGACACAGCUUGCAAACACGGGCAAGGGAGAGCUGAAAGGACUCGGACCAGAUGAGGUCAUGCCUCAUGCUCUGAUGGUCCAGAAUUUCGCACCUGUUUGUUCAACUUAGGUCUUGGUGGGAAAAGCAGAAAAUUAAAAAAUGUUUCGAGAAGCGUAGGUGUCGUGUAUUGUUUUUCUUGUGUUUAUUCAGCAAACAUUCCCUGAGAGCCUUACCCAAUGCUGCUGGACGUGGGAGCAGAAAUAAGAUAAUGAGAACACUCUUUCCACCUACAUCGAAGACAGCAUGGGAUCUGGACUCUGACCUAGAUCCCAAGAGGUGUGCACUUGGGGCUGGGUUGGAAAUCAAGCCAGUGGGGUAGCUGUGUAGGGACUUCAGCAGCUGCAGCUGGAGGACAGUCUUCCAGGGGGUUCUGGAAGGAAUGUUGUAAAUCUAUGUGGUGUCAGAGGCCCAGGUGGGAAGAAUUUGAAUCUGUGUGGGAGACCAUCAUGGAAAAAUGUCCUAAGCAGCAUUGCUGGAGGUGAUCUCCCUGGAAGUGGGGCGGGAGGCGGGAGACAGGGGGAGGUCAGUGCUGAUCGCCGUGGCCGUGGCCUGUGCCCAGAGCUUCCGUGCCUUGCCCCUGCCCUCUUCUGUCCUCCCUAGAAAAACAACCUUGGAGUGGUGACAGGGAGGCCAGAAGAGCCAGGGGUGGGCUGGGGGAGUUUAUAGGAGCAUUUUAUUGGCUCUGGAAAGGGAUGUGGGUUUUGACAGUCAAAGGCCAAGAUCACUGAGAACCAGCGGACAAAUGGUGAACAUGCUGCUUCAAGAGAUCAUUUCGGAAAGUAGACUCCCCGCUUUGCUUAUAGUAAUGACGGGAUUGAAAAAUGGUGAUUCUGCACAGAAAAAACAAUCUAGAGUUCUUUUUCCAAGACCUUCAAGGCCCACAUUUCUAUGCAAGAUGGUACAUCCGUCAUUAUUCGCCAACUGAUCAGGAAUAGCCAUUGCCACAGUCCGUGGGUGGUCAGGUGGAUGGAGAUGGCACAGCCACCUCAGGACCUGCCUUCCCUGGGGACACAGUGAGGAUUUCUUCUUGUUAUGGUCCUAGUUUGGGGAUAUUCUGUGUGACUGCUUGUGUGCUGCUCGAAGCCGUGACCGGAAAUCGCUAGAGAGCGCCAGACCCCCCGCGGGUGGAGGCCAGCAUGUGCUCACACCGAUAUGUAGCCACAGGAGUUCAUUUCCAGCCAUGAAGACCACUCCCCAAAGGUCCUGUUGCAGCUUAAAGGGUCAGGAAAAUAGGCCUCCCCAGAAAGGGCACUAAAACAAAGCAAACUCUUGUCUUUCUCUCCUACGAGGUGACAAGGGGGAUCAACAGGUGUAAAACACGACUGUCACAGCACCAUGGAGAAGGCGCACGAGGAAGCGUCCUGAGGUGGACAACAGACAGGAGCAAGAGGAGGGAGGACUGUGGGGCGAGGUCCAGCCUGGUCAUCAGAGAACUAGCUCCCCGAGCUCCAACAACCGAGAGAGCUCACUUCCCUCUGUGUCACUGUCAUCUACUCUCUGGUAAAGUACCACACGUUGUCCCAUUCUGUACUCACAGCAACCGUGUCGCCCAUACUACUUUCUUUCCUUGUAUAUCCAGGGGAUCAGAAAAUGCUAAUGGCGUCUCUCCCAACUUAGCACCCCUUGGAAUAAACUCCGCGAAGCAGAGGUACUCAUUCAGAGGAUCGGAUCCAACGCUUGAGAGGUUUUUGUAAAUCAAGUUGUGUUCCCAGAACUGCUGAUUGUGGUUUCUCCUUCUGCAGGGUUUUGUUACUUUUAAUUCUCUUAUUAUCCCUUGUCACUGGACCUCUUAAUUAUAAAUAGUAUUCUGAUACUGUGCCCUUUCACCCCAGGAGCCAUUCAUUGAUACCUGUGCUAUGGAUGCAGUUUCUCUCAGGGACGUUCACCCUAGGACCGUGCUUUUAUGCCAUAUUUACAAUGGGGCUUUUUAAUCUUAUUGCCCGAGUGGAACGUUUCCUUCCCGCAUACGAUUACAUCUCUGCUGAUUCACAAGGAGCAAGGUUAUAUGUUCCUCAUGCAGCCCUUGGCCGAAGAAGACCUGCUUCCAGGCUAUGAAAGACAAGAUCAUGUUGGAGUGGCCAGGUCAGCUCAAGUUCUGACCUGAGGAUCAACCCUAGGAUCAGACCUAAGCUCCCACAGUCCAUACCCUUGAGACAAUCAGUCAUGAAGAAUCUGGUGGGGACCCCCCCCCACUUGGAAUUACUGCCCUCUGUAGAGUGACCUCGUUCACAGACCCCCCAGCCUCUCUCCAGAACCUCUCCUUCUUGGCGGAUGCUUUCUCAGCCAGUCAUUAUUUAUGUUUCAGAUAGCUUGAGAAGAAAACCACAAAUACAGCCAAGUUGAAUUGGCAACCAAAGCCUGAUCAUUCUUACUGUCAGGUCAUAUCCAGGAAUGUCUUAGCACCAAGGUAUCCAUUGUCAGUCCAAGAGAUAUAAUUGCCUGUCAUGGCAGUAACAAAUCCUGACACGGAUUCAUGCAAUGGCCAACAAAAGAGACAGUCCCUUGUGACGAGGUGCUGGUACUUCCACUCUGAUGAAGAGUCACGCAACUUCCACUCCGGUCUUGUCCUCUCCAGAGCCCAGAUUACCUAAGGCUACCCUUCAUUAAGGAUUGAGAACUGAAAUCUUCAGCCCAACCCUCCGCUACUCUUUUUGCCUUUCUUGUAAGCCCAGGACUGUAUCUCAUUGUUUGCUGUUCCCUCCUUAACUAGCAAAGUACCUGGAAGUUGAUGGAACAAAUGGAUUCCUGCCUCAGUUCCUAGGAAUGUACCAAGGCCAUUUGCAUUCAGCAGUCUUGCCCUGAGAUAGCGCUGUGGCUGGUUCCCCAGGACCAGGGCACAGAUAUUUCACAGUCAACAGCGGGGGGUUACCAGGGUUUCACAGCAAGCCCUCCAUUGGAGGCAGACGUGAUGAGGAGACCAGCAAAGUGGCGGUCCUUCUGGCAGGAUGUGAAAACAAGAAGCGAACUGAUCAACACAAUUUUGCUUGGAAAGCAAAGCAUGUGCAGUAAUACGCACACCUGGGCGCAGCUGUCUUAAUGUGGCAGGGAUGCACAACAAACCGGGCAUCAUUUGGAGGGAGGGUAAUGAGGGACCAAGAGCAAGAAAACAAAGGAUGACUGCGCUCCGCGAAGGUCUCGACUCCCUUCUAAUUAGGCACAGUUGUUCUACGAAGUACGUAAUUAAUAAGCGUGUGACCAGAUGCGAAGUACAGCGGCGGCUCUUCCGGCGCUGGACGUGGUGAUGAAGUGUGCACAGCUGGAGGUAGUUGUUCUAAUUUGGCGGAGGCAGAAGGCCCGCCUGGAGUUUUGAGGAGGUGCAGUGAGAGCCGUACACCUGAAAGCAGCUCAUCCUAUUCCGACUGGGCCGGGGUGUAAUGAGAUGGAGCUAAUUAUCAGGAGUGUAAUGAGAUGCCAAAGCCCCUGGAGUUGAGCUGGAAAUUUCAAAGUGAGCUAAGCUGCAAACCCAAGAGAAGAAUUUCCACCGAUGGAGCCGGGUGUGAGUAGGAGGAAGUGUGCCUGAUUGAAAGACCUGCCUUCACGCCCCUGAGCCGAAGACUUCUGUCUGAAACUGCACAGGAUGCCAGGACCUUCCCCCACCUGGAGCAGGAGUCCCUGGGAACCUGAGAACACCAUGACCUGGAAAAGCUGCACAUGGAUUUCUUUUAAUGUGUAUAUGGUUUAUUUAUGUCCACACAACUGAAAAGAAAUCAAGUCAGGUGCUGUCGCGUGAGUGUCGUGGCCAUUAUAUUCCAUCUCAUUUAGAAAUGUGGCCUCAGAUUCCUGCUGACUUUGCAAAUAGAUACUCCAGGAGGAGAAAAAUUAGCAACCUCCUCAUCUCAAACUUCUUUCAUUACCUACCAGCCACAUUUUCUUUCACGAGGAUUUAUUUACCGCCAGAGAGCAGGAAACCCCUUAAUACCUGUUUUCUGUUCACGGUUUUUAUUUUACAGUUGCUGUUAUUUUAGACACCAUUUAUUGAACACUGAAUAUGUGUGAGAUGCUGUGCUAAAUGCUUUACCAUAGACUUCCAUUUAAUCCACAUGCUGGAGUUCCUCCCAUGGCUCAGCAGUUAACGAAUCUGACUAGCAUCCAUGAGGACCCAGGUUCGAUCCCUGCCCUUGCUCCAUGGGUUAAGGAUCUGGCGUGGCCGUGAGCUGUGGUGUGGGUGACAGCCUCUGUGCGGAUCCUGCAUUACUGUGGCUGUGGCAUAGUCCGACAGCUGUAGCUCCCAUUCAACCCCUAGCCUGGAACCUCCGC